GCAUUGGUAGUUCAGUGGUAGAUUUCUCAUCCUCCACGUGGGAAGCCUGGGUUAGAUUCCAGCCAAUGUA
rnacentral:tRNA from 1 species